rnacentral:rRNA from 1 species
AGAGUUUGAUCCUGGCUCAGAUUGAACGCUGGCGGCAGGCUUAACACAUGCAAGUCGAGCGGUAACAGGAGAAGCUUGCUUCUCGCUGACGAGCGGCGGACGGGUGAGUAAUACUUAGGAAUCUACCUAGUAGUGGGGGAUAGCUCGGGGAAACUCGAAUUAAUACCGCAUACGACCUACGGGAGAAAGGGGGCAACUUGUUGCUCUCGCUAUUAGAUGAGCCUAAGUCGGAUUAGCUAGAUGGUGGGGUAAAGGCCUACCAUGGCGACGAUCUGUAGCUGGUCUGAGAGGAUGAUCAGCCACACCGGGACUGAGACACGGCCCGGACUCCUACGGGAGGCAGCAGUGGGGAAUAUUGGACAAUGGGGGCAACCCUGAUCCAGCCAUGCCGCGUGUGUGAAGAAGGCCUUUUGGUUGUAAAGCACUUUAAGCAGUGAAGAAGACUCCAUGGUUAAUACCCAUGGACGAUGACAUUAGCUGCAGAAUAAGCACCGGCUAACUCUGUGCCAGCAGCCGCGGUAAUACAGAGGGUGCAAGCGUUAAUCGGAAUUACUGGGCGUAAAGCGAGCGUAGGUGGCUUGAUAAGUCAGAUGUGAAAGCCCCGGGCUUAACCUGGGAACGGCAUCUGAUACUGUUAGGCUAGAGUAGGUGAGAGGAAAGGUAGAAUUCCAGGUGUAGCGGUGAAAUGCGUAGAGAUCUGGAGGAAUACCGAUGGCGAAUGCAGCCUUCUGGCAUCAUACUGACACUGAGUUCGAAAGCGUGGUAGCAAACAGAUUAGAUACCCUGCUAGUCCACGCCGUAAACGAUGUCUACUAGUCGUUGGGUCCCUUGAGGACU